GUUCUGUUUGGGGGACAAGUUCUCCAAGUGACAGCCUCUGAUUGGCAACCCAUAAUGAUGAGGAUGGCUUCUGAUUUCAUCCAACACAUUACUGUUCGUACACGCACCUCACCAUUUUAUUUCUUCUUCACGAUCAGUUUCGUACAAGGUCGUCUCCAUUCCAAUCUUCAUUUAUCAUUUCCAAAACACGUGGACUAUCACCCAUUUAUCAUUUCCAGCUAAUAGUUAUCCAAAAUCCCAACAAAUUUCACAUGAAAAUGGUUCCCAAGGACACUUGUCUACAUUGUUCAUAACCUUUCUUUCAUCAACAAUUUUCCACAAUUGGAUUUAAGUUUUAGGAAAGGGCUUUUUUAGUUUUGAAACUCUAUAUAUACAUCCCUUGAGGUUCUAGGGUUGAGGAGGUUGGAGCGCUGCAUAAGAGAAAUUAGAAAGGAAAAGAGAAAAAAAGAGGAAAAUUUUAUUCAAGGAAAAAGGUAAUGGGGUUGUUGAACUAGCCAUGUUCGAUCUCAUUUUUCUCUCUAGCUUUUGAUCCAUUUUCAGUUACUCUUUUUCUGCACUCUCCAGAAAUGUUUUUUGUGUUUAAAAUUUUCAGAAAAAAUCGCUAUAAUAGCCUCUAAUUCGCGAUCAAAGUCAACAACUUCCAACUCUUGAAGUUCAAAGCUCUUCCCAAGUGGAGAAUCUUUGUGUUUUCUAGAUCUUGGCCAACUAUUGUGAGCCUGCAUGACUCUAAACACAUAAAAGAGUCGUAGGUAAUUUGCUUUGAUCAACUCUUUCCAAUUUUUAUGGCAUGUUUGGUUACUUUUAGUAUUUUACUUCAAUUUUUGGUUCAAAAUAGUGAUAAUAUUUUGGUUUAGAAUUUUGCAUGUUUCCUCUUUUUGAUCUAUGAAAGCUUUUGAAAUGAUCAAUUUGUAUUUUUGAUGGGAUUUGAGGCAAGACAGACAUGUUUGAAGUUGGGUUUUGAUCUCGAACUUUGAUUUUCUUUUCUGUGCAAAUGUGAUGAUUCCGGCUAAUUUUGACAAUUUGAGUGUGCUUGAGAUGUCAUAAGGAGGUCAUUUGUGUAAAAUUUUGGGUUAAAAUGUCAUCAGGAAAAUUUUUCGACAAAGAUUUGGGCCACAUGGACGGAAAUUUUCCAUAAUCUAGAGACUAUGGACUGGAUUUGUUUGAAUGUUACUGUGGGUCAACCCGGCUUGUCUUAGGUUGAUUUGACCCUAUUUUUUUUAAAAAAUUUCACUUCUUUUUCUUUUCUUUCUUUUUUCUUCUUUUUAUGAUGUGGGUUGAGGGUCAGGCUCGUGUUUCUUUAGGUUAAGCUAGCCUUGUUUUCUUCGUUGGGUUUGUUUUGUUUCCUUAAAUGUGACUUCUUUUGUGUGAAUCUGUGCUUGAUGUUCCCAAGGACUUAGAUUUGCUUACCUCUAUAAUUUGGACUUGUUUUGUUUUAAGUUUGUUUGUUUGGUUUAUAAAAUAUAGGCUUAUUUGGGUUUUUAAUAUAGACUAAUUUGCAUUUUUUCACUUGGUUUAUUUGCAUCUUAUUCUACUUUAAAGUGUAGUGGUCGAAGACUAGACUUGCUAGUCUAAGAUUGCAUCAAGCUGACAUGGCCCAAACAUUAGAACUAGCCCAGUCUAUCUGUGCCUUCAUUUCGAUGGGUUGAUCUUAGGG
rnacentral:lncRNA from 1 species